CACCCACUGUCCUACUGCUGGGGCUCUUCCAUCAGGCCCCAACUUCAACGCCACCGCCUCCUCAUUGAAGCCCUCCUCUGUCUCCUGGUCUGAUGUUUUCCUCGGCUCCCGCAGUGUCUGGGACCCCCAUUACAGCUCCCCACCUCUGCUGUUCCUUUAACCUCCUGCGUCUUUGUCUCUGAAGUAUCCACAGGGCCCAGUGAUCAUCACUAAAUUGAGUUCUGAAUCCAUCCUGCAUCCUUCUUUGCAGUGGCUGCCAGGAGGCUCAGUGGCACCUGGCUCCUUGCUGAGGUGUCUGGCAGAGGAGGCUGGCCUGCCCAAGUCUGCCCCCAGCCAAGCAGGGAGGGGUGAUAAACAUUUGUCAACUCAGAAGUGUCCACGCAAGGCGGACAGG